CUUCUCUGACCUGGGCUCCCAACGGCGAGGAAGAUGUUCCUCUACUAGCCAUGUCUAACUGGUGCUGGGGAAAAGAAGUGAUCUGAAGUCUUUUUGCUCACUUUGCUUCUGCAGGGAAGCAAAUGUCAAGUACAGGCAACCUUUGAGAGACUUGUAGG
rnacentral:lncRNA from 1 species